UACGUAGGGGGCAAGCGUUGUCCGGAAUCAUUGGGCGUAAAGCGCGUGUAGGCGGUUCGAUAAGUCUGCUGUGAAAGUCCAGGGCUCAACCCUGGGAUGCCGGUGAAUACUGUCGGACUAGAGUACGGAAGAGGCGAGUGGAAUUCCCGGUGUAGCGGUGAAAUGCGCAGAUAUCGGGAGGAACACCAAUUGCGAAGGCAGCUCGCUGGGACGUCACUGACGCUGAGACGCGAAAGCGUGGGGAGCAAACAGG
rnacentral:rRNA from 1 species